UACAGAGGUCUCGAGCGUUGUUCGGAUUCAUUGGGCGUAAAGGGUGCGUAGGCGGCGCGGUAAGUCGGGUGUGAAAUCUUGGAGCUUAACUCCGAAACUGCAUUCGAUACUGCCGUGCUUGAGGACUGGAGAGGAGACUGGAAUUUACGGUGUAGCGGUGAAAUGCGUAGAUAUCGUAAGGAAGACCAGUGGCGAAGGCGGGUCUCUGGACAGUUCCUGACGCUGAGGCACGAAGGCCAGGGGAGCAAAACGGG
rnacentral:rRNA from 1 species